GAUGAACGCUGGCGGCGUGCCUAAUACAUGCAAGUCGAGCGAACAGACGAGGAGCUUGCUCCUUUGACGUUAGCGGCGGACGGGUGAGUAACACGUAGGUAACCUACCUAUAAGACUGGGAUAACUUCGGGAAACCGGAGCUAAUACCGGAUAAUAUUUCGAACCGCAUGGUUCGAUAGUGAAAGAUGGCUUUGCUAUCACUUAUAGAUGGACCUGCGCCGUAUUAGCUAGUUGGUAAGGUAACGGCUUACCAAGGCAACGAUACGUAGCCGACCUGAGAGGGUGAUCGGCCACACUGGAACUGAGACACGGUCCAGACUCCGACGGGAGGCAGCAGUAGGGAAUCUUCCGCGAUGGGCGAAAGCCUGACGGAGCAACGCCGCGUGAGUGAUGAAGGUCUUCGGAUCGUAAAACUCUGUUAUUAGGGAAGAACAAACGUGUAAGUAACUGUGCACGUCUUGACGGUACCUAAUCAGAAAGCCACGGCUAACUACGUG
rnacentral:rRNA from 1 species